UACGUAGGGGGCAAGCGUUGUCCGGAAUCAUUGGGCGUAAAGUGCGUGUAGGCGGCCCGGUAAGUCCGCUGUGAAAGUCCAGGGCUCAACCCUGGGAUGCCGGUGGAUACUGUCGGGCUCGAGUCCGGAAGAGGAGUGUGGAAUUCCUGGUGUAGCGGUGAAAUGCGCAGAUAUCAGGAGGAACACCAAUGGCGAAGGCAGCACUCUGGGACGUGACUGACGCUGAGACGCGAAAGCGUGGGGAGCAAACAGG
rnacentral:rRNA from 1 species